GAGGGUGUAGCUCAGGGGUAGAGCACGUGCUUAGCAUGCACGAGGUCCUGGGUUCCAUCCCCAGUACCUCCA
rnacentral:tRNA from 1 species